GCGCGAGUAGUUCAGUGGUAGAAUGUCUCGUUGCCAACGAGAAGGUCGCCGGUUCGAGUCCGGUCUCGCGCU
rnacentral:tRNA from 1 species